GACAGAGGUCCCAAGCGUUGUUCGGAUUCACUGGGCGUAAAGGGUGCGUAGGUGGCAGUGUAAGUCUGAUGUGAAAGCUUCGAGCUUAACUCGAAAAUGGCAUUGGAUACUAUAUUGCUGGAGGUUUGGAGGGGGGACUGGAAUUCUCGGUGUAGCAGUGAAAUGCGUAGAUAUCGAGAGGAACACCGGUGGCGAAGGCGAGUCCCUGGACAACACCUGACACUGAGGCACGAAAGCUAGGGGAGCAAACAGG
rnacentral:rRNA from 1 species